rnacentral:rRNA from 1 species
UACGUAGGGGGCGAGCGUUGUCCGGAUUUACUGGGUGUAAAGGGUGCUCAGGCGGGUCUGUAAGUCAGGGGUGAAAUCCCAGAGCUUAACUCUGGAACUGCCUUUGAUACUGCAGAUCUCGAGUUUGGGAGAGGCGAGUGGAAUAUCUGGUGUAGCAGUGAAAUGCGUAGAGAUCAGAGAGAACACCAAUGGCGAAGGCAGCUCGCUGGCCCAAUACUGACGAUAAAGCACGAAAGAGUGGGGAGCAAACAGG